rnacentral:rRNA from 1 species
UACGUAGGGGCUAGCGUUAUCCGGAUUUACUGGGCGUAAAGGGUGCGUAGGCGGUCUUUCAAGUCAGGAGUGAAAGGCUACGGCUCAACCGUAGUAAGCUCUUGAAACUGUAAGACUUGAGUGCAGGAGAGGAGAGUGGAAUUCCUAGUGUAGCGGUGAAAUGCGUAGAUAUUAGGAGGAACACCAGUGGCGAAGGCGGCUUUCUGGACUGUAACUGACACUGAGGCACGAAAGCGUGGGAGCAAACAGGAUUAGAUACCCUGGUAGUCCCU